AGAAACUGCCCUUAGCAAAAGACCUACCACCUGCCAGGUCACACCAGCCUCAGGAGAAGCUGCACAAAUGGCUGGAAGACGCAAGCCUCAGGAGAAUGCAGAGAUAAGAGUGCAUGUCCAGAGUGGCCACAGUGGCAAGGGUAGAGACUAUGUAGUGAGGCGAACAGCAUGGGCCCCUACUUACCAAGGCUGAUCUAGCCACUGAUGCCACCAAGUAACCAACCUGCCAGCAACAGACACCAAAAAGAAAGGGACAACCAGAAUCUUGUAAGAACUGUUCACAGAAGAAAAAAAAAAAAAAAAAAAGAACUCACAGAACUUCUUAUAUGAAGAAAGUGGAUCUGAGCAGUCCAAAGGUGUUAAUCCUGAAAGCACUUCACAAUGAACUUCGUGGGCACAACUCUCCAUCUGAGAGUCAGUUUCCACCUAGGACAUCCCAGUUCAACUGACAAUACCACCUCUUAAUAGCUAGUGACCUUGGCAAGUAAAUUCCCAGCUGCAAGCCUCACUUUCCCAUUAAGUGGGACAAUAGAAAUACCUGGCUGUCAUGAAAGUUAAACAAAAUAAUACUUGCAAGGGACUUGGAGAAGCAUAUGGCAUCCAGUAGGUGUUUCCCAGCUGGGAGGAGGAACAGCCAAAAAGCUGGAAUAGAAAAGAUUCAGUGUGACUCCUGAAAGAAAUGAACAGCAAUGGAAAGAGAGGGAAGUUUGCAUGUGUUAGAGAAGGUUCAGAGAGCACUUUGGUGGACAGAGAUAUUACACACACCACCAUCUUUCUUUCCUUUCUCCUCCAAUUUUGUUCUGAGGGAACAAUGACUUUUUUUCUUAAGAUUUUAUUUAUUUAUUCAUGAGAGACAGAGAGAGGCAGAGACACAGGCAGAGGGAGAAGCAGGCACCCUGCAAGGAGCCUAUGCAGGACUGGAUCCCAGGACCUCAGGAUCACGACCUGAGCAGAAGGCAGACACUCAACCACCAAGCCAAGCAGGCAUCCCACAAUGUGUCCACUUUAAAUAAAAUAAAAAAUACUCAACUUCUCAGACUCUUUCUGCUGAAGUUGGCCAGUUGAUGCAAUUCUGCCAAUGAGAUCUAAGCAGAACUACUAGAUGGAGUUUCAAAAAAAAGACCCUAUUGUUUUCCUGAUUUAAAAAAGAGAGAGAGACUCAGCUGGCAAGCAUGAUGGAGCUUUUGUCAUUUGCUUUUCAUUUUUCUGUCUCUCCACUGAGAACACAGAUUCAAGAUGAAGCAGCCAUUUUGCAAAAGAUAGAAGCUAAAGACAACUGAGGUCCCUGCCACUCCUGAGAGCAGCGAGCCCUGGCCUGAGCCCCCUGGAGUUCCGGCUCCAUGAGGAAAAGGAAAGGCCAUUUUGUUAUACAUGUGCAUACAGGGCUCAGUGCCAUGUGGCUGAAUGCACCCCGAAGAGAGUAGAGAGAGAAGGGGGGGGAGGUCAGCAACAGACCUAGAGGAGCAGAAGCACAGGUGACUUUCCCAAGUGUGACUAUGAGUUGCAUAUGGCAUAACAUCCAUAGGAAUUACCUUCAUUUUUAAUUGCGAGGUUCUCUCUCUGAAUGCAUUAUUACCUACAAACUAGGCCACAUGAAGCCAAGACUUAUUUGGGUUAUUUAUCAUUAUGUAAGUCUUUGGGGCAUCUCAGUGGCUCAGUGGGUUAAGUGGCUGCCUUUGCUCUGCUCAUGAUCCCCGUCCCUGGGAUCCAGCCACAAGUAGGGCUCCCUGCUCAGAAAGGAACUUGCUUCUCCCUCUCCCUCUGUGGCUCCCCCUGCUUGUGCUCCUACUCUCUCAAAUAAAAUCUUAAGAAAAUAAGUCUGUCAUUUAAGUUAUAGUAUUAUUAGAACUAUUAUAAUGAAAUACUGAAAUAGGAACACAUGUAACAGGUCGGGGGAGAAUGAGGGAUGGACACAGACUCUAUCAUGCCUCCACUCUUUUUAUCUGAGCCCAAAAUAAUUUGUCUAUCCUUUAUUUUUUUUUUAAGAUUUUAUUUAUUUAUUCAC